rnacentral:rRNA from 1 species
UACAGAGGUGGCCAGCGUUGUUCGGAAUUACUGGGCGUAAAGGGCGCGUAGGCGGUCUUAUAAGUCUCGUGUGAAAUCCCUCGGCUUAACUGAGGAACUGCACGGGAUACUGCAAGACUUGAGAUCGGGAGAGGGAAGCGGAAUUCCGGGUGUAGCGGUGAAAUGCGUAGAUAUCCGGAGGAACACCGGUGGCGAAGGCGGCUUCCUGGACCGAAACUGACGCUGAGGCGCGAAAGCUAGGGGAGCAAACGGG